UCAGGCCUAACACAUGCAAGUCUAGCGGAAACGAGUUAUCUGAACCUUCGGGGAACGAUAACGGCGUCGAGCGGCGGACGGGUGAGUAAUGCCUAGGAAAUUGCCCUGAUGUGGGGGAUAACCAUUGGAAACGAUGGCUAAUACCGCAUGAUGCCUACGGGCCAAAGAGGGGGACCUUCGGGCCUCUCGCGUCAGGAUAUGCCUAGGUGGGAUUAGCUAGUUGGUGAGGUAAGGGCUCACCAAGGCGACGAUCCCUAGCUGGUCUGAGAGGAUGAUCAGCCACACUGGAACUGAGACACGGUCCAGACUCCUACGGGAGGCAGCAGUGGGGAAUAUUGCACAAUGGGCGCAAGCCUGAUGCAGCCAUGCCGCGUGUGUGAAGAAGGCCUUCGGGUUGUAAAGCACUUUCAGUCGUGAGGAAGGUAGUGUCGUUAAUAGCGGCAUUACUUGACGUUAGCGACAGAAGAAGCACCGGCUAACUCCGUGCCAGCAGCCGCGGUAAUACGGAGGGUGCGAGCGUUACUCGGAAUUACUGGGCGUAAAGCGCAUGCAGGUGGUUUGUUAAGUCAUAUGUGAAAGCCCGGGGCUCAACCUCGGAAUAGCAUUUUGAAACUGGCAGACUAUAGUAUUUGUAUAGGGGGGUA
rnacentral:rRNA from 1 species